GCGGGAUUAGUUUAAUGGUAGAAUGACUGCCUUCCAAGCAGUAGAUGGGAGUUCGAUUCUCCCAUCCCGCACCA
rnacentral:tRNA from 1 species